rnacentral:tRNA from 1 species
GGACAUUUAGUCUAGUGGUAUGAUUCUCGCUUUGGGUGCAAGAGGUCCCGAGUUCGAUUCUCGGAAUGCCCC